rnacentral:rRNA from 1 species
AGCGAACGCUGGCGGCAGGCCUAACACAUGCAAGUCGAACGGAUCCUUCGGGAUUAGUGGCGGACGGGUGAGGAACACGUGGGAACGUGCCUUUUGGUUCGGAACAACUCAGGGAAACUUGAGCUAAUACCGGAUGUGCCCUUCGGGGGAAAGAUUUAUCGCCAUUAGAGCGGCCCGCGUCUGAUUAGCUAGUUGGUGGGGUAAAGGCUCACCAAGGCUACGAUCAGUAGCUGGUCUGAGAGGAUGAUCAGCCACACUGGGACUGAGACACGGCCCAGACUCCUACGGGAGGCAGCAGUGGGGAAUCUUGCGCAAUGGGCGAAAGCCUGACGCAGCCAUGCCGCGUGAAUGAUGAAGGUCUUAGGAUUGUAAAAUUCUUUCACCGGGGACGAUAAUGACGGUACCCGGAGAAGAAGCCCGGCUAACUUCGUG